rnacentral:rRNA from 1 species
UACGGAGGGUGCAAGCGUUAUCCGGAUUUAUUGGGUUUAAAGGGUCCGUAGGCGGACCGAUAAGUCAGCGGUGAAAGCCCACAGCUUAACUGUGGAACUGCCGUUGAUACUGCCGGUCUUGAGUACGUAUGAAGUUGGCGGAAUGUGUGGUGUAGCGGUGAAAUGCUUAGAUAUCACACAGAACACCGAUUGCGAAGGCAGCUGACUAAUACGUAACUGACGCUGAGGGACGAAAGUGUGGGGAUCAAACAGG